AGAGUGCAGACUCGGGUCAGACCUAAAACCCAAACCGAUGCCGUUGCGGCCCUCCGACCGCCCAACCCGGCAAAACCCAGACCGCCAUGCUAGGGCCGCCGGAGAAGGUGGACAUGGAGGUGGAGCCGGCGGAGGCUGCGGCUGCGCUCGUGGCCUUGGCGUCGGAGCCCUCUCCGUCGCAGCUCGAUGUUUUCAAGAACAGAAUUCAUUUAUUGCGUGAUGGAAACACGAGUGAUUUUGAUGCUUGGGUAUCUUUAAUAGGUUCUGUGGAGGAAACUAAUGCUAAUGACAUAGAGGUUAUUAGCUUGGUCUACCGUAGCUUCUUACUGGAAUUUCCUUUGUGCCACGGCUACUGGAUCAAAUAUGCAGCUCACAAAGCACGGUUAUGCACAUAUGAAGAUGUGGUGGAUGUUUAUGAACAAGCCGUCCAAGCAGUUCCUCACUCUGUCGAUAUUUGGGUCAGUUACUGUGGAUUUGGUAUGAGUGUGCAUGAAGACCCUGCUCUUGUUAGAAGGUUAUUUGAGAGGGCCAUGUCUCUUGUUUCAAGGGAUUACUUGUGUUAUCACCUUUGGGAUAAGUACAUAGAAUUUGAGAAUUCGCAGAAGCAGCUGAUUCAGCUUGCUACAAUUUAUAUUAACAUGUUGAAAUAUCCCACAAAGAAGCUGCACAAGUAUUACGGAAGUUUUAAGAAGUUGGUAACAUCAUUGGAGCAAGAGUUUACAAACUGCGGUGCUGAAAUAUCAUCAGAAAAUCUACAUACUUCUGAAGUGAUGGAAGCUGAGGAAUCUGAACGGGAUAUCUCGAUUAAAAUUGCUGGCUUAUUUGACGGAGGUGGGCAUCUUAAGGCCGAAUCAUUGAGGCAGUACUUAUUAACUGGGGACCGUCUAUACCAAAGGUCCAGUAAAAUUGAUGAAGAAAUAUGUGGCUUUGAGGCAUCCAUUAGAAGGCCUUUUUUUCAUGUCAAGCCACUUGAUGAUGACCAACUUGAGAACUGGAACCUGUAUCUUGACUUUGUUGAGAAGAAUGGCGAUUUUGACUGGGCUGUAAAACUUUAUGAGAGGUGCUUGAUCCCUUGUGCUAAUUAUUCGGAGUUUUGGAUUCGCUACGCUGAAUAUGUGGAUGCCAAAGGUGGCCGAGAGAUUGCAAACUAUGCUCUUGGUCGAGCAUCGUCGUGUUUUGUGAAGGGAGUCCCAACUUUCAGCACGUACCAUGCAAUGUUCAAAGAGCAAAUCGGUGAUGCACCAGGUGCUCGUGCUCUUUUUCUUGAAGGAAGCAGUGAUUUCACUUCAGAUUCCUGCAUGAACAUUAAUAGAGUGGCCAACAUGGAGAAACGCAUGGGAAAUACUAAAGCAGCUACUGAGAUAUAUGAGAAUGCAAUUGUGGAUGCCAUGCAAAGGCAGAACAUUGAAGUAGUUGCUGACUUGUACACUAAUUUUGCACAGUUUGUAUAUGCGGCAACUCGUAGCAUUUCUGAAGCUAAAGAAGUCUUUGUCAAGGGAAUAAAACAGGCACCCUGUAAACCUUUGAUUAAAGGAUUCAUACAGUUCAUUAGUACAUAUGGAGGACCUACAGAAAUACCUCUUCUUGAUUCUGUUAUUUCUGAUGCCGUGACUCCUGGAUCUGAUGUAUCAACAGCUUUAAGCCCUGAAGAUCGUGAAGAUAUCUCAUUGUUGUUUUUGAAGUUUGUUGACCUCUACGGUGGUGUUCAAGAAGUCAGAAAGGCAUGGGCUCGCCACAGCAAACUUUGUCCUCAUAACACAAGGAACCUGUCGCAGUGGUAUUGUACAAUUGAUAGUAACAAGAGGAGAAUAACUGAAUUUCUGAGGGUUGCUCAUGACCAUAGUCCAGAAGGUAUGACUACAUUGAAACAGUCAUCCAAAAGUGACACUUGUUCUUGGCAAGUUGAUAAAGAAGUUGGUUUGCAAGUGGACAAGAAUGCCGUGGAUUCAGGAAAACGACAGGGAGAUGCAGGUGAGCAGAACAUAGUAGGGAGUGUUGAUGUGCACCAGCAGGUUGGCGAUACAGCUCAGGAAUGCAUUGACAUGGCUCACAGUCAACAUAUUUUGGACAAUGACGGGGCAGCAAAAUCUUGCCCUUCUGUAAAUGAGGAAGCCCCUCAAGCUGAAUCAUGUAAUUGCGAUUCUCCUUCAAAAUCAAUUGCUGAUGACAAGCAGAUUGAUGCUCAGGACGAGAUUAAGACCACUGAGCUAUCUGCAAUUGAUCAUCCAGGAACAGUAUGCUCAAGAUCCGAUUCGCCAUCUGGGACAAGCUUACUCGAAGGUGGAAUUCCUUCCAAUCAAACUCCAAUAUUUCCCGAAUUAGAGGAAAAACAUGAGGAAAUCCAGGUAAAGGUGGAAACAGAGAAUGAUGUGUCUGUCAGUGAUGUGAAGCCAGAAAAGUCUAGUGAUAAUCAAGAUGCAACUCAUUGUGAUAGGGUAGUCUCUGUACUCGAUCAAGAUCAUAUUCAAUCUUCACAGACAGAAGAUCAGUCAGUCAGUGCAAAACCUUCCAGCUCAGAAAUGGCAACAACACAAGCGACCACAUGUUCUCAAUUAGCUCCCAGCAAUGCAGUGCCUGCUCAAGCUCCACUUCAGCAACAGAUGGAUAGUUCUCAAACGAACCAACCUGUUAACCUUUUUUUGGCUGGACAAAACAUGCAGCAGAUGCAGCAACAAGGGCUUGCUUAUGCAAUUCCUCAUAAUGUUCAAAUAUCCUCACAAACUCAAGCUCAACUCUUUGCUCAACCUAAUCAGGGAAACCAACAGUACCUCCAAAUGAUGCAAGGGUAUGAAUCUCAGAUGUGGCAAUAUUACCAGCAACAGCUGUAUUACCUGCAGGCUCAGCAUAAUCAGCAGAUCCAGUGUCUGCAACAGCAGCAGCUUCCAACUGAGCAGCUCCAGCAAAAUUAUAUGCAGCAGGUACAACAACUGAACCAGCAAAUGGUUCUUUGGCAGCAACAGGUGCAGCAGCAGCAACAACAACAAGCACAACCUGUUCAGCAACAGUCUAAUAUAGCACAGGGUCAGUAUCACCCUUCAAUGGAUACUAAACAUGAACACAAUAAACUGGAAUCUCAAAUUGAUCAUCAAAGCCAGCAAUUCCAGCAGCAGCAGCAGCUCCUUUAUUUCCAGCAGCAGCAGCAGAUGUAUCUUAUGCAACAGCAACAGCAGAUGUAUCAACAGCAGCAACAGCAGCAGCAGCAAUUAAUGCAGCAGCAACAGUAUCUCUCACAGAUGCCGCAGCAAGAACAAGACAUGGUACAACAGCAGCAGCAGCAGCUUUUUGAGCAACAACAGAAGCAGAUGGUAGUUCUGCAGCAACAGCAGCAACAGUUUGUCCAACAACAGAUGCAGCAAUAUCUGCAACAGCAAGCAAACCAACAAGGGUUCAAGGAUCAGAAUUACGAGUUAAACCCACAGGAUGCAAAGAAGAGGCAAAUGGAGCAUGGUCAACAAUCCGAAGCAUCACAGAGUGAUGGUUCCAAAUUGCGGAGUGGUGAGCAAUCUGAGUUGUCCUACCCAUCAACUCCACAGUCUCAGCGCUCCAACUAUUGAAUCAUCUUGUAUAAUCCUUGUGUUCUAUAAGCAAAGGAUCCUCGAAGUUCCACGUGAUUGAUUUAAGUACCAUUCGGCACAUCGGGUCCAUGAAAAUAUUUAGGAAAGCAAUGUUUCACUUGUUCCAUCAGAUGGCAUUGAGCCCAUAUUGUGUCAGAAUGGUGAUGCUGAGCGCCCUAUUUCCUUGGUACAGAAGUUUGAAUGCUUUCAUUUGCUAUCGGUGUUUGCUACUGGUGUGCAUACCGUACCGCCUUGUACAACAAUUGGCACAAUGUUUGGAGAGCUAGCUUCUGCUGAGUAUAAAGUGGUGAAGAAUGACAGCUGUGCCGGACAGCCUGCCAUGUCUAAUGUCAUGAGCACUUGUCCUGUCAAAGAGCACUGCUACACGGUGGGAACUAUUUUCACUCGCUGCAAAGUCUAAAUCCACAGAAGAUAACAAAAUGUGAUCCCAUUCAAUCCGAUCAUAGCUUGCUGCCACAGUGGUCCUGAUAUAUCCCCUUUCACUCUGAGGAAAAUAUGUGAUCCCUCUGGCAUCCACCAGAAUGGAAAUCGGCUCUACAGAGUCACGAGCAAAGCGAAUUGCAGCACAAGGCUGGCUGGAAAGUGUGUAGUUUAUGCUCAUUAUUAUAGUGCGGUAUCGCCUUGCGUACAAUUUAUUCCUUACGAUCCAAGGGUGAAUUAGUUAAGGAUAAGUUACAUGGCAUAUCUGUCAGGAAAUACAAGGAUUGGCUGCUCGGUUUGUCUAAUGUUUCAGGUGGUCAAUUAAAAUAGUCCAAUAGGAAAUGGAAGGUUUUUGUUUUGGGGUUUAAGCUGGUAAGGGUGAAUAAUCUGUACUGGAGUAGAAGAAAUUGGGGUCUUCUUGCAACACGUCAAAGUGAAAUUGUGGUUGUGGCCUGUGGGUGACGGGUUGUCUAGGCCGUAUGAGCUAACAAGGUCAGCGCAAAACUCAAAUAUAGCGUAAUAUCCUUUCGAUGCUACGAAUUAAAAAAUAAAUUGCAUAUUUAAAGAGAA